rnacentral:rRNA from 1 species
GAUGAACGCUGGCGGCGUGCCUAAUACAUGCAAGUCGAGCGAACGGACGAGACGCUUGCUUUUCUGAUGUUAGCGGCGGACGGGUGAGUAACACGUGGAUAACCUACCUAUAAGACUGGGAUAACUUCGGGAAACCGGAGCUAACACCGGAUAAUCUUUUGAACCGCAUGGUUCAAAAGUGAAAGACGGUCUUGCUGUCACUUAUAGCUGGAUCCGCGCUGCAUUAGCUAGUUGGUAAGGUAACGGCUUACCAAGGCAACGAUGCAUAGCCGACCUGAGAGGGUGAUCGGCCACACUGGAGCUGAGACACGGUCCAGACGCCUGCGGGAGGCAGCAGUAGGGAAUCGUCCGCAAUGGGCGAAAGCCUGACGGAGCAACGCCGCGUGAGUGGUGGAGGUCUUCGGAUCGUAAAACUCUGUUAUUAGGUAAGAACAUAUGUGUAAGUAACUGUGCACAUCUUGACGGUACCUAAUCAGAAAGCAACGGCUAACUACGUG